GACGUAGGGCGCGAGCGUUGUCCGGAUUUAUUGGGUUUAAAAGGGCUCGUAGGCGGCCAACUAAGUCAUACGUGAAAUCCCUCAGCUUAACUGGGGAACUGCGUGUGAUACUGGAUGGCUUGGAUUUGGGAGAGGGAUGCGGAAUUCCAGGUGUAGCGGUGAAAUGCGUAGAUAUCUGGAGGAACACCGGUGGCGAAGGCGGCAUCCUGGACCAAUAUUGACGCUGAGGAGCGAAAGCCAGGGGAGCAAACGGG
rnacentral:rRNA from 1 species